AUGGGGGCUGCAUUAAUUCUCUUCAGCGUAGGAGUGGUGAUCAAUAAGCGGAGAUAUAGUAGAGCAGACCUUGCGAUCACAUAUGUGCUAUUCAUAGGAGGCCUCUGUAUGGAAGUUUGUUCAAUGUUUAUUUAUUUGAUGUCACCAUGGACCUUGGCAUGGUUGGAGGCUCGAAAUUGUCGUGGGCUUGCUCGCAUAUCCUCGUUUCUUCUGUCCAGCAACAUUGGACGGCCCGACAGAAGGCCGUUGUGGUCGAAUUCGAUGGGGCAAUAUAAUUUCCUGUGGUAUUUGGGUUGUGAUCAUCAAUCAAGGCUAUCCAAGUUAGUGAAGAAAGUGGCAAGAAUGAUUGCAAGUCUAGUAGUCAGCCAUAAGAAAAAAAUAAAGCCAUUGCUGUGGAUGAGCAAGUUAUUGGACACUAAUUAUGUUGAGGUGGAUAAGGAGAUCAUGGACUCACUUAUACGGAUAGUCAGCCAGUACAAUCCAGAUGAAUCAAGCAUGGACCCCAAGGAUUGGCCAAUGCUUGGUCCGUUGCUCAAUAAGUUACUACCAGACUUUGGUGCAAGUUUCGGUUAUGCUAUUGUGUGCUUCCAUAUAUUCACAGAGGCACACCUAAGCAGUCAUUCCCUUCCGGACCAAGAUAUUGUUUUGGUGAGUGCUUGUCGGAAGUUGUCCAACUAUAUGUUGUAA
rnacentral:rRNA from 1 species